UACGUAGGUGGCGAGCGUUGUCCGGAUUCACUGGGCGUAAAGGGAGCGUAGGCGGACUUUUAAGUGAGAUGUGAAAUACUCGGGCUCAACUUGAGUGCUGCAUUUCAAACUGGAAGUCUAGAGUGCAGGAGAGGAGAAUGGAAUUCCUAGUGUAGCGGUGAAAUGCGUAGAGAUUAGGAAGAACACCAGUGGCGAAGGCGAUUCUCUGGACUGUAACUGACGCUGAGGCUCGAAAGCGUGGGGAGCAAACAGG
rnacentral:rRNA from 1 species